GCCGAAAUAGCUCAGUUGGGGAGAGCGUUAGACUGAAGAUCUAAAGGUCCCUGGUUCAAUCCCGGUUUCGGCA
rnacentral:tRNA from 1 species